rnacentral:lncRNA from 1 species
UUUUGAAUGCCUGCAGUCGACUCCAAGACGUUGUUCUCCGAACCGUUACUUCUGUUAAUCAUCCGCCACAUUUGGGAAUACAUGCUGUCCCUCUCAAAAGGAUUCAUGCCUUUCACUCGAACGUGUUCAUAGACUGCAGAGUCCAAGACAGUGCCAUAAGGAAUAUCCGUCUGCCUUGAGAGAUCCUGGAGAGACCUUAAUUGUUGGUGAAGAAAAGAGACAUAGGAGACUUAAAGCUGCAUUUUCAAGAGGAAGAUGCUGCAGAAGAAGAGGAAUGACUGUGGCUGAAGUUUGAAAAUUGAGGUGUCUACUAAUAUUUACUGCAGUUACUGGAAGCUUUAGAUGAAGCACUACUUACACUACAUCUAUUCAGUUGAUGAAAUACCAUGCAAGGCUUGAUAUUUGAACGUAAAUCUUUUGAUUGCUUGCUGUAUAAACCUGUUCUUGCAAGACAUCUAAG